CUGCGAAUAUUCUCACUGUUCUGAUUUUGUAAUAAUCAGGGCAGGCUAAACAUUCGCUAUAUUAAGACCAUGCAUGUGUCCCCAGACCUAGUUCUUUUCCUAGGUCUGGUUUGAUAAAUGCUGGUGAUAAAC
ensembl:snoRNA SNORA72 Small nucleolar RNA SNORA72